rnacentral:rRNA from 1 species
UACGGGGGGGGCAAGCGUUGUUCGGAAUUACUGGGCGUAAAGGGCUCGUAGGCGGCCAACUAAGUCGGAUGUGAAAUCCCCAGGCUCAACCUGGGAACUGCAUCCGAUACUGGAUGGCUUGAAUUCGGGAGAGGGAUGCAGAAUUCCAGGUGUAGCGGUGAAAUGCGUAGAUAUCCGGAGGAAUACCGGUGGCGAAGGCGGCAUCCUGGACCGACAUUGACGCUGAGGAGCGAAAGCCAGGGGAGCAAACGGG